CGAACGAUGAACCACUUCGGUGGGGAUUAGUGGCGAACGGGUGAGUAACACGUGGGCAAUCUGCCCUUCACUCUGGGACAAGCCCUGGAAACGGGGUCUAAUACCGGAUACCACCAUCGCAGGCAUCUGUGGUGGUUGAAAGCUCCGGCGGUGAAGGAUGAGCCCGCGGCCUAUCAGCUUGUUGGUGAGGUAAUGGCUCACCAAGGCGACGACGGGUAGCCGGCCUGAGAGGGCGACCGGCCACACUGGGACUGAGACACGGCCCAGACUCCUACGGGAGGCAGCAGUGGGGAAUAUUGCACAAUGGGCGAAAGCCUGAUGCAGCGACGCCGCGUGAGGGAUGACGGCCUUCGGGUUGUAAACCUCUUUCAGCAGGGAAGAAGCGAAAGUGACGGUACCUGCAGAAGAAGCGCCGGCUAACUACGUGCCAGCAGCCGCGGUAAUACGUAGGGCGCAAGCGUUGUCCGGAAUUAUUGGGCGUAAAGAGCUCGUAGGCGGCUUGUCACGUCGGGUGUGAAAGCCCGGGGCUUAACCCCGGGUCUGCAUUCGAUACGGGCUAGCUAGAGUGUGGUAGGGGAGAUCGGAAUUCCUGGUGUAGCGGUGAAAUGCGCAGAUAUCAGGAGGAACACCGGUGGCGAAGGCGGAUCUCUGGGCCAUUACUGACGCUGAGGAGCGAAAGCGUGGGGAGCGAACAGGAUUAGAUACCCUGGUAGUCCACGCCGUAAACGGUGGGAACUAGGUGUUGGCGACAUUCCACGUCGUCGGUGCCGCAGCUAACGCAUUAAGUUCCCCGCCUGGGGAGUACGGCCG
rnacentral:rRNA from 1 species